rnacentral:piRNA from 1 species
UGGGAAGUGUGCUUGGACUAUAUUCCGGA